rnacentral:lncRNA from 12 species
GUCCCAGUUCCUGGGGAGACCCUGGUCGUGGCCCCCACACUUGGCUCCUGGCCAGCCUCGUGUGAAGCCAGAGUGGCACCCCAGCCACACCAGAGGGUUCUGAGGUGGUGCCAAGAAGGGGAGCAGACGUGGGGGUCUCUCUGUACUGCAGUGACGCGAGGAUGGAUGGUCUGGGUUGCAGUGCGGGUGGAACGGGACCCAGCAGCACUCUGCUCCCCCUGCAGUGGCCACAGCCUUGGCAAGCCAGGCCACGUGCAGGCAGGAGCAGGCAGGAUGCAGGCAGCAGCUCUGGGCACAUACGUCCUCCCCAAAAGGCCUCACCACGGGAAUGGAUCCCCCUGUGCAGUGAUGCUGAGCCCUGCUGCCCUCUGCUCCAGCCCUAAUCCCCUGCCCCACUCAGCUCUGGGGGUUUUCCCCUGAGUCUCUCCAUGCCCCCGAAGUGGAGGCUCGAGGUGCAGUUUUCCUCCUGCAGACACCCACAGAGGGCUGAGGGGACAGGAGGGGGGUCCCAGUAACUGCUCUCACCUGCCAGCCCAGGGAGUGGGAGCCAUUAGCCCAUCCUGCCCACGCCCAGUGGGUUCCAUGUGUCCACCCUGUCCACAUCCAGUGGGUCCCGUUCACCCACCACCACCAUGUCCCCAUCCCUGCUGUGCCUGAUGGGUCUCAUGUGUCCGCCCUGUCUGCCCAGUGCGUCCUGUAUGUCCACCCAGCCCAUGACUGGUGGGUCCCGUGUGCCCACUGCCGUCAUACCCCAUGGAUUCCAUGUGUUCACCCCGUCUGCGUCUCGUGGGUUCUCUCUGCCCAACUCCACCCUGCCCAGUGGAUUCCGUGUGCCCACGCCCACCAUGUCCAGCGGAUCCCACGUGCCCACCAUGUCUGGUGGGUCCUGUGUGACCAGCCUGUCCUUGCCCGGGGGGAUCCGUGUGUACAUCCCCACUGUGCCCAGUGAGUUCCUUGCAUCCACCUGGUCUGUGUCUGGUGAGUCCUGUGUGUUCACCCUGUCCCUGUCCUAUGGAUCCCCUGUGUCCAGCCUGUCCCUGCCCCAUGGAUCCCCUGUGUCCAGCCUGUCCCCCCCCCCCCCCCCCCCCCCCCCCCCCCCCCCCCCCCCCCCCCCCCCCCCCCCCCCCCCCCCCCCCCCC